UACGUAGGCAGCGAGCGUUGUUCGGAAUUACUGGGCGUAAAGAGUGUGUAGGCGGUGCUCUAAGUUCGGUGUGAAAUCUCCUGGCUCAACUGGGAGGGUGCGCCGGAAACUGGAGUGCUUGAGCGUGGGAGAGGAAAGCGGAAUUCCUGGUGUAGCGGUGAAAUGCGUAGAUAUCAGGAGGAACACCUGUGGUGUAGACGGCUUUCUG
rnacentral:rRNA from 1 species